AGAGAUGCCUUGGUGCCUUCGGGACCUCUGAGACAGGUGCUGCAUGGCUGUCGUCAGCUCGUGUUGUGAAAUGUUGGGUUAAGUCCCGNAACGAGCGCAACCCCUAUCCUUUGUUGCCAGCGAUUCGGUCGGGAACUCAAAGGAGACUGCCGGUGAUAAACCGGAGGAAGGUGGGGAUGACGUCAAGUCAUCAUGGUCCCUUACGAGUAGGGCUACACACGUGCUACAAUGGCGCAUACAAAGAGAAGCGACCUCGCGAGAGCAAGCGGACCUCAUAAAGUGCGUCGUAGUCCGGAUCGGAGUCUGCAACUCGACUCCGUGAAGUCGGAAUCGCUAGUAAUCGUAGAUCAGAAUGCUACGGUGAAUACGUUCCCGGGCCUUGUACACACCGCCCGUCACACCAUGGGAGUGGGUUGCAAAAGAAGUAGAUAGCUUAACCUUCGGGAGGGCGUUUACCACUUUGUGAUUCAUGACUGGGGUGAAGUCGUAACAAGGUAGGCGUAGCGAG
rnacentral:rRNA from 1 species